AUAAGGCAGAACAGUUGAAACUGGAGCAGCAGCACAGUCAGGUGGACUGGGGCAUUGUGUCAGGUAGUCCUGGGGCACGGUCCUAGGGCUCAGGUCCUCCGAGAGAGAGAAAGAAAGAGAGAAUUAGAGAGAGCAUAUGUGGGGUGGCCAGUCCUCUUCUGGCUGUGCCGGGUGGAGAUUAUAACAGAACGUGGCCAAGAUGUUCAAAUGUUCAUAAAUGACCAGCAUGGUUGAAUAAUAGUAAGGCAGAACAGUUGAAACUGGAGCAGGAGCAUGGCCAGGUGGACUGGGGACAGCAAGGAGUCCUCAUGUCAGGUAGUCCUGGGACAUGGUCCUAGGGCCCAGGCCAGUUGAAACUGGAGCAGCAGCAUGGCCAGGUGGACUGGGGACAGCAAGGAGUCAUCAUGUCAGGUAGUCCUGGGGCAUGGUCCUAGGGCUCAGGUCCUCCGAGAGAGAGAGAAAGAAAGAGAGAAUUAGAGAGAGCAUAUGUGGGGUGGCCAGUCCUCUUUUGGCUGUGCCGGGUGGAGAUUAUAACAGAACGUGGCCAAGAUGUUCAAAUGUUCAUAAAUGACCCAGCAUGGUUGAAUAAUAGUAAGGCAGAACAGUUGAAACUGGAGCAGGAGCAUGGCCAGGUGGACUGGGGACAGCAAGGAGUCCUCAUGUCAGGUAGUCCUGGGACAUGGUCCUAGGGCCCAGGCCAGUUGAAACUGGAGCAGCAGCAUGGCCAGGUGGACUGGGGACAGCAAGGAGUCAUCAUGUCAGGUAGUCCUGGGGCAUGGUCCUAGGGCUCAGGUCCUCCGAGAGAGAGAGAAAGAAAGAGAGAAGGAGAGAAUUAGAGAACGCACACUUAGAUUCACACAGGACACCGAAUAGGACAGGAGAAGUACUCCAGAUAUAACAAACUGACCCUAGCCCCCCGACACAUAAACUACUGCAGCAUAAAUACUGGAGGCUGAGACAGGAGGGGUCAGGAGACACUGUGGCCCCAUCCGAGGACACCCCCGGACAGGGCCAAACAGGAAGGAUAUAACCCCACCCACUUUGCCAAAGCACAGCCCCCACACCACUAGAGGGAUAUCUUCAACCACCAACUCACCAUCCUGAGACAAGGCCGAGUAUAGCCCACAAAGAUCUCCG